AGAGUUUGAUCCUGGCUCAGGACGAACGCUGGCGGCGUGCUUAACACAUGCAAGUCGAACGAGUUUAAGAAGGAAGCUUGCGAAUCUUAAACUUAGUGGCGGACGGGUGAGUAACGCGUGGAUAACCUGCCUACAUGCCUGGGACAACACCGGAAAACUGGUGCUAAUACCGGAUACGCUCAUCUUUAUACAUGUAGAGAUGAGGAAAGGAGAAAUCCGCAUAUAGAUGGGUCCGCGUCCCAUUAGCUAGUUGGGGGUGUAAUAGACCACCAAGGCGACGAUGGGUAGCCGGCCUGAGAGGGUGGACGGCCACACUGGAACUGAGACACGGUCCAGACUCCUACGGGAGGCAGCAGUGGGGAAUCUUCCGCAAUGGGCGAAAGCCUGACGGAGCAACGCCGCGUGAGUGAAGAAGGCCUUCGGGUCGUAAAACUCUGUCUUCAGGGAAGAAAAAAAUGACGGUACCUGAGGAGGAAGCCCCGGCUAACUACGUGCCAGCAGCCGCGGUAAAACGUAGGGGGCGAGCGUUGUCCGGAAUUACUGGGCGUAAAGGGCGCGUAGGCGGUUAUUUAAGUCAGAGGUGAAAACUACCGGCUCAACCGGUAGCCUGCCUUUGAAACUGGAUGACUUGAGGGCAGGAGAGGGGAGUGGAAUUCCCAGUGUAGCGGUGAAAUGCGUAGAUAUUGGGAGGAACACCAGUGGCGAAGGCGGCUCUCUGGCCUGUUUCUGAUGCUGAGGCGCGAAAGCGUGGGGAGCAAACGGGAUUAGAUACCCCGGUAGUCCACGCCGUAAACGAUGGGUGCUAGGUGUAGGAGGUAUCGACCCCUUCUGUGCCGUAGUUAACACAAUAAGCACCCCGCCUGGGGAGUACGGCCGCAAGGUUGAAACUUAAAGGAAUUGACGG
rnacentral:rRNA from 1 species